rnacentral:lncRNA from 1 species
UUUUUAUGUUGGAGUUUGUUUUUGAGAUUUUAUGUCAAACUCAUUUAAUUUCAAUUGCUUAUUAUAUACAACUAUUUGAUAUUUGAGACUUUUAUGCUUGGGUGAAGCAUGUGCGACACUCUAAUAUGUGAUUUUUAUUUGAAAUGUUUUAUUAUAUGUCGAUACGGGGAAUAGGGUGUUACAUAGUGGUAUCAGAGCAGGUCGGUUCGUCCGGGAUUUUG